rnacentral:tRNA from 1 species
GGUGUAGUUCAAGGGUAGAAUAGUGGUCUCCAAAACCAUUGAUGGGGGUUCGAAUCCCUCCACC